rnacentral:lncRNA from 1 species
CAAGAAUUUUCUCAGUCUGACUAGUUGCUGGUUAAAGGUUUUCUCAACUUUGAGAAAGGCAUUACAUAACUUCCUUCAAGCAAAACCACAAUUGCCCUUGGGAUAAAUGUCAAUUUAACAGAAAUAGCACUUUAUACUUUCACCUCCCCAAGCCAUCUUGAACAUUUUGGAGACAUCCAUUCUUUCGAGGUGCCUUGGUGAAAAAGGGAAACAUUCACUUAUGUCUCUGAAGAUGAGGAAACUGAGGCAGAAAAAAGGGACAUGUCCUGGUCCUAACAAUACUUUAUGCUCUCUAUACUACAGAUUGUCUUCACACCUAGCCCAGAAAUACACCCACUUCCUUGAAUUGCUUUUGAAUUAGUGCCUUUGUCUACAAAAGAUGUUGGUUGGCUCCAGGAAAACUGGGAACUGUAAGCUUGAUGCUUCCCAAGAUUAGAAUUAAGAACCAGUAUUCUUUUCCCUGGGACCAUGCCAUCCACCUAAAGAUGAGAGAAAGAAGGGGCACUGGAACACUGGGUACCUGGGGCACAGGUAAGAUGAUGACAAAGAGGCGAAAGUGUACAGGAAGGUGGCUGAGUACGACUUUAAUUUCUUUCUAAUUUUGCUUGCUCUUGGGAGCUAAGAAUACUUCAAGAGUUAAGCAUUGGCAGAUUUUUAGUUUAUAAAAGCUGACCAUUUGUACCAUACCUUUCCUCCUUUCCAAGCUUUCAGUAGAUCACAUCUGGGUCCAUAGCUCCCCAUAGUUCACUGCAGGAAUUGGGCAACAAUUCAUACUGAUUUUAUCCCACCAGUUUUCCCUGGCAGAUUUAAUAUUCAUGAGUGAAUAGGUUUGCAUGGAUAGUGUACUUGUCAAAGAAGUUGUACAUAGAGAUCUUGGAUCCAAAUCAUGGAAGCAUCGGGUCAUUGAGAAAAGAGUAGAAAUUUACCGAAGAGGGAAAAGCUCAUGUUUCUAACAGCAAGGGGAAGCCCAUGGCUCUCCAAAAUGGCAACAUGUAAGGGAAUUUCCUGGCAUCAUUGGCUAAACUUAGUCUUCCAUGAGCCCAGUUAAGGUAAUUUCUUUUAUUCAGGCCACCUCUUCUUGUGAAGAGAGUCAAGUACAUCUCCGAACAGUUAUUACAGAACGUGAAAAAGGUUUAGGGAGUGUGUGUGUGUGUGUGUGUGUG